rnacentral:tRNA from 1 species
GUUCGUUGUGGUUUAAUGAGGGAGCAGCGACUUAAAAUCCCUUGGGGGCAACCCCGUGCAGGUUCGAGUCCUGUUCCGAGCA